rnacentral:rRNA from 1 species
CGUGUAGGCGGCCUUGUAAGUCUGGUGUGAAAGCCCGGGGCUUACCCCCGGAAGUGCACUGGAAACUGCAAGGCUUGAGUACCGGAGAGGAAGGUGGAAUUCCUGGUGUAGCGGUGAAAUGCGUAGAUAUCAGGAGGAACACCGGUGGCGAAGGCGGCCUUCUGGACGGAUACUGACGCUGAGACGCGAAAGCGUGGGGAGCAAACAGGAUUAGAUACCCUGGUAGUCCACGCUGUAAACGAUGGGCACUAGGUGUUCGGGGUAUUGACCCCCUGAGUGCCGCAGCUAACGCAUUAAGUGCCCCGCCUGGGGACUACGGCCGCAAGGUUAAA